UAGGGAAUCUUCCACAAUGGACGCAAGUCUGAUGGAGCAACGCCGCGUGAGUGAAGAAGGUUUUCGGACCGUAAAGCUCUGUUGUUGGUGAAGAAGGAUAGAGGUAGUAACUGGCCUUUAUUUGACGGUAAUCAACCAGAAAGUCACGGCUAACUACGUGCCAGCAGCCGCGGUAAUACGUAGGUGGCAAGCGUUGUCCGGAUUUAUUGGGCGUAAAGCGAGCGCAGGCGGAAGAAUAAGUCUGAUGUGAAAGCCCUCGGCUUAACCGAGGAAUUGCAUCGGAAACUGUUUUCUUGAGUGCAGAAGAGGAGAGUAGAACUCCAUGUGUAGCGGUGGAAUGCGUAGAUAUAUGGAAGAAUACCAGUGGCGAAGGCGGCUCUCUGGUUUGCAACUGACGCUGAGGCUCGAAAGCAUGGGUAGCGAACAGGAUUAGAUACCCUGGUAGUCCAUGUCGUAAACGAUGAGUGCUAAGUGUUGGGGAGGCUUCCGCCUCUCAGUGCUGCAGCUAACGCAUUAAGCACUCCGCCUGGGGAGUACGACCGCAAGGUUGAAAC
rnacentral:rRNA from 1 species